GUGGCACUUACGUCAGCACAGUUAAGUCAGUUAUCAGCUGAUUUAGUUUUGAUAUUUGAUAUAUUCGUGGACAAGUGAUUAAAAUUCGCAAUUGGAAGUCGAAUCUGUUGCAACUUUGAAUCACUGAUCUACGGUCGAACAUCGCCACGUUCGUAUUUUUCACGGAAAACGACAGUACGAGACUAGCAAUUUUACACGGGAAUGUCUACAUGUGAAACUAAUUGUGGCUACGCUGUUCGGGACAUAAAAUCUUGGAGGCAAAAUAAAGAGCUGCGAAUUCGAGAAUCACGAUGGCCGAGGACAGGUUGAACCACUUGCUGACAAUCUGCACUGAACACGAAAAAGCGAGUGAAAUCAGUUAUGAAAAAAUAAUAAAGGAUUUCAGUGCCAUUAAAGC